CCUACGGGAGGCAGCAGUGGGGAAUCUUCCGCAAUGGACGAAAGUCUGACGGAGCAACGCCGCGUGAGUGAAGAAGGUUUUCGGAUCGUAAAACUCUGUUUUCAGGGACGAAUGUGUGGAUUGUA
rnacentral:rRNA from 1 species